rnacentral:sRNA from 1 species
GUUGUUGAAUUCUUGCUAAGCCACCAGCCUGUGGUAGUUGUUGUUGCAGUUCUAGUUGCCGAUGUUGUUGUAUUUUGUGGUUUUUUUUCAGAGUAUUGGUGGGGCUUUUACUAUUCGGGCAGCUACCAGUUUUUGAUAUUUCCUAGUUACAAUUACAGUGGUACUUAGAUAUGGCCGAUGGUAUAGAAAAGAAUAUUUAAAAAAGUGUAUUUCAAAAUGUAUUAAUUUUAUUAAUUUGGUUUUAUCCAGAAAAUUAACUUCUCAACAUUUUUGGAAGAGCAGACAAAUUGAUGAUGUCUACCUACGACUUUUGUUAAAUAUACUUUAUUUAUUUUUAAUAUAAAUAAAAAAAAAUUUUCCAUUUUGAUCCGCAAUAAUGUUUGGAGACUCACUGCACAAUUGAACAAAUAGACAGCAAUAUUUCUUGCUGUUUAAGCUGUCUAUUACAUUAAUUUAUUCAAAUGUCGUUGUCGUUGUUGUCGCUUUGCAUUAAAUUAGUUUUGUUUCAUUAUUAAAAAGUCGUAAAUUGCAAAACGUGUUUGGGAUUUCGCUAUGAGUUUGGCUAACCCAAUGAGUCCCACUUAAUGUCUGUCCGCCUGCAUCUAAUGAGAUGCAUCGCAACUUUUAUGGACUGCAUUCCCAUUUCGGGUAAUUUCAGUCCAAGCAAAGGGGUUUUUCAAAUCCAGCUUCUAUUUUGGAGGCCCAUGAAUGAAAAUUCCCCAACCUGUAAUUGCCUGUUGGCUGAUAAAUGAUUAAAUCUGAUAGGAUGCAAUUUGAUGUUUUCCCCGCCGAUUUUCCUUAGGUUUUUCCUGUUCUCCUUUGGCCUGUGCUAUCUCUAUGACAGCCACUAAAUUUUCAUGUUUACCUCGACGGAUAUUUGCCUACCCGAAAACCGAAAAAACCGGCUUAGUUUUUCCAGCCCCUUUGCGAGGAAAUUACAAUAGCAGAGCCGCAGAGCUGGAAAAAGUAAUUGAGAUUCUAAUAUCAGAUAGCAGAUAUGCUGAUGUUGGCUUACAUGACCGGCCCGAAAGCAGCUGCCAUUUGCGCUCCAAUCUGCGAGGCGCAGUAGUAAAACUGGUAGCCCAAAGAGCGUUUUCAAGAUGUUUACGCUGAUGAAAAAUUACUCCAGCUGCCAUGGCCAAAGGCGGGCAAUGCCAAAGUUAGGCCCAUCAGCCCAGCAAACCCAGCAAACCCAGCAGCCCGGCAAACCAACAGACCAACCAAUUCCAGGUCCCAACAACAGCAGGUUGGCGUGCCGAGCAGUAGCUUUGUGGGCGUGUCAACGGAGCACGCGGCCGAACAGCAGCCAACUGAUGAUGGACGUUGAUUAUGAUGGACGUUGCCGGCCUACCAAGAAGAACAACCAGGAGCAGCAGCCCAGGCAGUCGAAGAAGAUGAACAGAAGCUUCGAAAACCGGCAGAAGAGCCUGCCAGCAAUUUGCCAGGAUGGAGCAGCACAGCGAGAAAAUAUCAUCACAAAAGUGUCAAGGGUAAGAAAAUGUAUAUAAACCAACAACAGAUACAUUAUGAAUUACAACAAGAUCUCAUGGAUUUCUUUUAAAUUCAAAUUAAAACCCUAAGGAAUAUGUAAAGACAGUCUCUACGUAGUUUUGUUUUAAUUUAUAUAAAACUAUGCUUUAGCAUGCAAUUAAAUAAAACCAUUAUUAUGUAACUAAAAGAAAAGGAAACCCAUGCAUUAUCCAUGCUAAUGAUAUGCAUAUUUUCUUCGGGUGCACGAAGCGGGCAAGCGAGAUGGUAGAUUGAGCGAUUCUUAGGGCCAACCCAACGCCUUCUUUUUGGUAUUAUUUUAAGUAAUUUUCUAAUUAAAACUAAAUCGAGUUUUCCUCGAAGGAAAUGCCAAACAUUCCCUGCCAUAUCCGUUGAUACAGCUGGGCUGUCACACACAAAUAUGCAAAGUCAAUGCUUAUUUUGAGCUCUGCGGCUUCCUGCCUUUCGCAUCGGGCUGAGAAUCGGAGACAGGCCCAAGACAGUCGGUGGAAUGGGAUACAAAAGCUAAGGGGAAUUCAUUCAGUCGAAAGCUUUUUAUAAUAAAUGCCACAAGUAUCUGGUGGCUGUCGGUA